rnacentral:rRNA from 1 species
ACGGGAGGCAGCAGUGGGGAAUAUUGGACAAUGGGGGAAACCCUGAUCCAGCGACGCCGCGUGAGUGAAGAAGUAUUUCGGUAUGUAAAGCUCUAUCAGCAAGGAAGAAAAUGACGGUACUUGACUAAGAAGCUCCGGCUAAAUACGUGCCAGCAGCCGCGGUAAUACGUAUGGAGCAAGCGUUAUCCGGAUUUACUGGGUGUAAAGGGAGCGUAGACGGUUUUGCAAGUCUGAAGUGAAAUGCGGGGGCUCAACCCCUGAACUGCUUUGGAAACUGUAGAACUAGAGUGCAGGAGAGGUAAGCGGAAUUCCUAGUGUAGCGGUGAAAUGCGUAGAUAUUAGGAGGAACACCAGUGGCGAAGGCGGCUUACUGGACGGUAACUGACACUGAGGCACGAAAGCGUGGGGAGCAAACAGGAUUAGAUACCCUGGUA